rnacentral:lncRNA from 1 species
GGAAAGAGAGCGAAAAGAAGAAGAAGAAGAAAGAGAGAGAGAGGAAGAGAGAAGACGACAAGAGGAAGAAGCGGAGAGGGAGCAAGAGGAGGCAAGGGAACGAGAAGAAGAAAGGCAAAGAAGGGAGAGGGAAGAAAUGGAAAAGAGGGAAAGAGAACAAAAGGAAGCAGAAAAAAGGGAAGAAGAGGAACGAGAAAGACGAGAAGAGGAGGAAGAGAGAAGACGACAAGAGGAAGAAGCGGAGAGGGAGCAAGAGGAGGCAAGGGAACGAGAAGAAGAAAGGCAA